GUGAGCGUAGCUCAGUUGGCCAGAGCACAAGGUUGUGGUCCUUGGGGUCGCGGGUUCGAGCCCCGUCGCUCACCC
rnacentral:tRNA from 1 species